GUGGCGUUAUACGGUGAGGUGGGGUUACAUGGUGAGGUGGCGUUACAUGGUGAGGUGGGGUUUCAUGGUGAGGUGGGGUUACAUGGUGAGGUGGGGUUUCUUGGUGAGGUGGCGUUUCAUGGUGAGGUGGGGUUUCUUGGUGAGGUGGGGUUUCUUGGUGAGGUGGCGUUACAUGGUGAGGUGGCGUUUCAUGGUGAGGUGGGGUUUCAUGGUGAGGUGGCGUUUCUUGGUGAGGUGGCGUUUCA